CACCCCACGUGCCAAAGGAUCACCAGCAGGUCUGCCUAUAACCCUGUGCAUCUGCUGGAACGAGACACCUGGAUUAUUAGUCUAGCAACUUCCUUUGCCUGGACCUCCCGGAGAGCAGGCAGGGGGUUCUCUCCUUGCAUGCUCUCUGCAGUGCUAAUUCAAAGGAACUACAAACUGGGGAGCAGAGCAAGGCCUCCUGCAGAUGUAGGUGAAGUCACCCAGGGGAGGGACACACUGGGACACCUGCACUAUCAAACCUGGCUCUGCUCCUAGAUGAAGGAGAUAUAAACCACAGAACCUGGAAAUUCUGGCAAUUCUUUUGCUCCAAAGCAGCAUUUCUUUUUGUUUCUACAUUUGCUGCCGCAACAGGAGAGAGCACCAAGAAACCUGGGAAGUGCAUGGACAUUUUCAUCGGAUCAUUCCCAGGAGGGCAUCUGCAGUUCAGCAACAGCUUCCUCACUGAAGGGCCUAUCAGCAGGCAUACAAAUUGCUGUAGGGUGAAGUCAUGGCAGAAACACAGCCAAGUGCUUUUGUGCAGUGCAGAGCAGCACAAAGAGAUGUUCCUGCAGCAGACAUCGCAGGGGGAGCACAGCUGAAUGCUACUAUCCACUACUCCUAUGGAAGAAGAAUCAAAUUAAUGGCUACAGAAAGUAUUUAUUCAGCUCAAUGUAUCUUCAAUAUAAAGCCUGUAAAUCAUGGUAAUGUAACUCUUAUGCAAUGCAACUCUCAGAAACAACCAUAAAGAGGCUACACAAGA